UACGUAGGGGGCGAGCGUUGUCCGGAAUUAUUGGGCGUAAAGGGCUCGUAGGCGGUUUGUCGCGUCGGGAGUGUAAACCAGGUGCUUAACACCUGGCUUGCUUUCGAUACGGGCAGACUAGAGGUAUGCAGGGGAGAACGGAAUUCCUGGUGUAGCGGUGAAAUGCGCAGAUAUCAGGAGGAACACCGGUGGCGAAGGCGGUUCUCUGGGCAUGACCUGACGCUGAGGAGCGAAAGUGUGGGGAGCGAACAGG
rnacentral:rRNA from 1 species